CUUAAACACUAUGCUAAACUCUUGUGGAUCUUUAUGUGCGAAAUAAUAUCUUUUCAUGACACAUGAAACAAAACUACAUGGGAGAAGUACCAGAUGAUAAAGGAGAUAUUAAAAUAGAAUUGUUAUUAUUCACCAGUAAUACGAACCAAAGUUCUUGAGACGAAGAAAUACUUG
rnacentral:lncRNA from 13 species